GAUGAACGCUGGCGGCGUGCCUAAUACAUGCAAGUCGAGCGAACGGACGAGAAGCUUGCUUCUCUGAUGUUAGCGGCGGACGGGUGAGUAACACGUGGAUAACCUACCUAUAAGACUGGGAUAACUUCGGGAAACCGGAGCUAAUACCGGAUAAUAUUUUGAACCGCAUGGUUCAAAAGUGAAAGACGGUCUUGCUGUCACUUAUAGAUGGAUCCGCGCUGCAUUAGCUAGUUGGUAAGGUAACGGCUUACCAAGGCAACGAUGCAUAGCCGACCUGAGAGGGUGAUCGGCCACACUGGAACUGAGACACGGUCCAGACCCCUACGGGAGGCAGCAGUAGGGAAUCUUCCGCAAUGGGCGAAAGCCUGACGGAGCAACGCCGCGUGAGUGAUGAAGGUCUUCGGAUCGUAAAACUCUGUUAUUAGGGAAGAACAUAUGUGUAAGUAACUGUGCACAUCUUGACGGUACCUAAUCAGAAAGCCACGGCUAACUACGUGCCAGCAGCCGCGGUAAUACGUAGGUGGCAAGCGUUAUCCGGAAUUAUUGGGCGUAAAGCGCGCGUAGGCGGUUUUUUAAGUCUGAUGUGAAAGCCCACGGCUCAACCGUGGAGGGUCAUUGGAAACUGGAAAACUUGAGUGCAGAAGAGGAAAGUGGAAUUCCAUGUGUAGCGGUGAAAUGCGCAGAGAUAUGGAGGAACACCAGUGGCGAAGGCGACUUUCUGGUCUGUAACUGACGCUGAUGUGCGAAAGCGUGGGGAUCAAACAGGAUUAGAUACCCUGGUAGUCCACGCCGUAAACGAUGAGUGCUAAGUGUUAGGGGGUUUCCGCCCCUUAGUGCUGCAGCUAACGCAUUAAGCACUCCGCCUGGGGAGUACGACCGCAAGGUUGAAACUCAAAGGAAUUGACGGGGACCCGCACAAGCGGUGGAGCAUGUGGUUUAAUUCGAAGCAACGCGAAGAACCUUACCAAAUCUUGACAUCCUUUGACAACUCUAGAGAUAGAGCUUUCCCCUUCGGGGGACAAAGUGACAGGUGGUGCAUGGUUGUCGUCAGCUCGUGUCGUGAGAUGUUGGGUUAAGUCCCGCAACGAGCGCAACCCUUAAGCUUAGUUGCCAUCAUUAAGUUGGGCACUCUAAGUUGACUGCCGGUGACAAACCGGAGGAAGGUGGGGAUGACGUCAAAUCAUCAUGCCCCUUAUGAUUUGGGCUACACACGUGCUACAAUGGACAAUACAAAGGGCAGCGAAACCGCGAGGUCAAGCAAAUCCCAUAAAGUUGUUCUCAGUUCGGAUUGUAGUCUGCAACUCGACUACAUGAAGCUGGAAUCGCUAGUAAUCGUAGAUCAGCAUGCUACGGUGAAUACGUUCCCGGGUCU
rnacentral:rRNA from 1 species